CCCAAAACACCUAAACCAACUCGACCCAUACCCAGCCAACCUCUAUUUUCCUUUCUCCAUUAACAACGACAGCAGUGGCAUCGAUAACAAAAAUUACAACAACAAAAACAGCCGAACAAAAACCAAUAAUGUCGACAACCCCAGCGUACAACGUCUCCCUCCCUAUCUGUGUACAAUACCCAACAGCCGCACCAUCCAAGCCUCUGUCCAAUUUAGAAAUAGUUAAGAAUGUUCCAAGACUAUAUACCUCAUGGAUCCUUCGACGUUUAGUUUCGGUAAAUUCAGUGAGGAAUUCAUCAAUUUUGUACUAUCACAGUACCUACCCGUCCAAUUUCUAUUGGUAGAUGAAGGAACUCAUUUUUUCCUUCCAAAAUCCCCCAAAAUUCAUGACGAAUUUGAUCCCCCUUUUUGGACCAAAUUCAUCAAUUUUAAACCAAUUCUAAGCCAUUUUAAAAUUCAAAACAAUACAAUCGUAUACCCCUCCCCCACCCCCCCUUCAAAAGAUCUUCUAUAAAUAAAUAGUGUUGGUUGAAGGUUCGAAAUUGGAUUGUUUGGAGAAAAAUUGGAGAUCCACGUCACCGAAGAGUUUAAGAAGAAAUACAUUUGAAAAACCAACUCCCACGAAAUGCUGAAAGUCCGACGAGUCGAAACUGAAAUCCUGAUGAAAACAAACAUAAAUUCUGGUGGAAUUUUAUUUGUUUAAAGCUCGUUGUCUCAAUUCCUGCUCCGAAAAAGAAUCAAGUGGUAAGAAGUCUUUAGGCUUCAAGUGCAAAAAAAAUUGAAUAAAGAACGAAAAGGGUAAGGAGAUCGAAAAAGGGCCCUCUGAGAAAAAGAACAAGCCAAAUUUCAAAAAGGGAAAACGAUUUUUAAGAAGAAAGACGAGAAAGAUGAAGUGCUACAAUUGUCAAGUUCUUGGGUAUUUUGCUCGUGAUUGUCAUGAGCAGAAAAAGACUUAGCAGCCACUGACAUAUGAAUCAUAAUCAAGGAAUGUUUGUGAAGUUUCGUUGAGUUUCACUUGGAUCAAGGUGGAUUUAUGUAGGAAAUAAUGUAAGACUUGAAGUCAAAGGGAUUGACACUUGCAAAGUAGACUUGCAUGGAGUCUAGUCUUUGAUGUUGGAUAACGUCCUAUAUGCUUUAGGAAUUCAACAAAACUUAGUAUCCGUGUCUGUUCUAUUAGACAUUGGCUUUAAUUUAUUUUUAGCCUCAAUGGUGUAAGAAUAACUAUAGAUAAUGCUUGUUAUGAUUUUCGACUUCGUUAUGAUCGCUUUAUUGUUUUAGAUUAUAAUCCUUUAAUUUAUGACAA